rnacentral:rRNA from 1 species
AGCAGCCGCGGUAAUUCCAGCUCCAAUAGCGUAUAUUAAAGUUGUUGCAGUUAAAAAGCUCGUAGUUGAAUUUCGGGAUCAAAUUGUCGGUCGUGCUUCGGUACGUACUGGCGUCAUUGAUUUCUCCCUUCUGACGAACCAUGAUGUCAUUAACUUGGUGUCAUGGGAAAUCAGGACUGUUACUUUGAAAAAAAUUAGAGUGUUUAAAGCAAGCUAACGCUUGAAUACAUUAGCAUGGAGUAAUGAAAUAGGACGUUCGAUCCUAUUUUUGUUGGUUUCUAGGAUUGACGUAAUGAUUAAUAGGGAUAGUUGGGGGCAUUAGUAUUCAAUUGUCAGAGGUGAAAUUCUUGGAUUUAUUGAAGACUAACUACUGCGAAAGCAUUUGCCAAGGAUGUUUUCAUUAAUCAAGAACGAAAGUUAGGGGAUCGAAGACGAUCAGAUACCGUCGUAGUCUUAACCAUAAACUAUGCCGACUAGGGAUCGGAUGAUGUUAAUUUUAUAAUGACUCAUUCGGCGCCUU